GCCAGCAUCAGGCACAUACAUACGCACACAUACAUACAUACAUACAUACAUACACACACACACACACACACACACACACACAGAGAGAGACAAAACACUCAUACACAUAAAAUAAAAAUUAAUUUGAAGUGUAGCUGUUUAAAAAUGUAAACUGUUCAUAGCUCAUAGGUCUCUCACAGCAAGCAGCAGACUACAUUUGGCCUGUUGGCUGAUUUGCCAACACCUAUCAUUCUCAAAGGGACUUUGUGACUGUCGGUGGCUUCCCUGCAUAUUUUGAGAAUAAGCUGAGUUUUGCCAACACCUGUUAUUCUGAAAAGGACUCUGCGACUGUGGGUGGCUUCCACGCAUAUUUUGAGAAUAAGCAGGGUAGAUGUGGAGACUGGAGCUCUGUCUUUCUGCUACUUGUUGUUUCCUUCCUAAGGAUGAUCCUGCUCAGACUCCACCUGGGGCUAUGGAAGCUGGGGAUUAAAAAUCAGCAUGGGCUGGAGGAGACAGGGCCCAAGCUUCUGGCUACAUAAGUUAGUGGUCUUGUUUGUUUUGGGGGUUUUUGUUUGUUUGUUUUUUCAAGACAGGGUUUCUCUGUGUAGCUCUGGCUGUCCUGGAACUCACUUUGUAGACCAGGCUGGCCUCGAACUCAGAAAUCCGCCUGCCUCUGCCUCCCAAGUGCUGGGAUUAAAGGCAUGCGCCACCACCGCCCAGCAGUGGUUUUAUUUGUAACUAACAGUUUAUACCAAUGACUCCCCACAACUUUGUGUAAUUGUUUUUCCACUGUAUUAACAUUAAAGGGAAUCUAAAA
rnacentral:lncRNA from 1 species